rnacentral:ncRNA from 1 species
UUCGGCACCUUAACAAAUCGGGGUGCAAUGAAAGUAAUUUCAUUCCUUGGGCAUAUUAAAGUUGCCUAAAAUAAAAAUUUGGCUUAUAACGGUGGACUCCAAAAAUUAAAUGAUAGGAAAUUUAUUUGGACAAUACCGUGGGAAGUCAUCUACUCAAAGUAUUAAAACUUGAUUCCAAAAUUUUGAGUGGAUUGACCCCGUAGAGACUUGUUCUGAAAGGAACAGAGUCGCGCAGACAUAAUGCGCGGCUAAGACGCCAACUCCUUUAUUCUUAAAAAGAUAAAGGAAGAAGAUAUAGUCCGACCCUUCCGGUAACGGAAGA